CGGGGGCAAAAUAGUCAAACCGUUCUCCACGUCUGGCCGUAGAGACAGCAACAUAUCCUAAUCACGAUUCGGGGGCAAGCGAACGGACACGAUGGUGGCCUUGACCGCGGGGAUUUCCGUAGCCGCCGGCGUCGUGUUCAGCCCCGCCGGCCGCCGGCGCGGCCGCGGCCCCGACGCCUUUCGCUGCUCGGCCUCCUCGGCCGGCGAGCGGCAGGCCCUCUUCAGCCGCAUCGCCCCCGUCUACGACCUUCUGAACGACGUGCUCAGCCUGGGACAGCACCGAACGUGGAAGCGCAUAUGCGUCUCUUGGUCGAGAGUGAAGAUGGGGGAUCGAGUUCUUGAUCUCUGCUGCGGGAGCGGGGAUUUGGCAUUCCUGCUGUCUCAGAAGGUCGGCUUAGAUGGAGAGGUGAUGGCUGUUGAUUUUUCGAGGCAGCAACUACAGACUGCUGCUGACCGUCAGGAGCAACGCUGGAAGCUGUGUUACAAGAACAUCAAAUGGAUCGAGGGUGAUGCACUUGAUUUACCAUUCACAGACUGCUACUUCGAUGCUGUAACAGUUGGCUACGGAUUGCGCAAUGUGGUUAAUAAAUCGAAAGCAAUGCGAGAAAUAUAUAGGGUCCUGAAACCAGGAUCAAGAGCCUCUAUCCUUGAUUUUAACAAGAGUUCAUCACUUUUCACGGCAUCAUUACAGAGUUGGGCGAUAGACAACGUUGUGGUUCCUUUAGCUAGUGGCUAUGGACUGACUGAAGAAUACAAGUACUUGAAAAGCUCCAUAGCACAGUAUCUAACAGGAGAAGAGUUGGAGAAAUUAGCUAAAGAAGCUGGGUUCUGUGCAGCGAAGCACUAUGAGCUUGGUGGAGGGCUUAUGGGAAAUCUAGUAGCAACUCGAUGAGUAGAAUAUAUAAAGGAAACUCGAGUCUUAUGAUUCCUCUGCUUCAUUUUAGCUGAUUGUAUGCUCUUCUAUGUAUCCACCUGUAGGCUCUUCUAUGUAUCCACCUAUCAUGUUUUGCCGAUCCCAGAUGAAGUUGUGGACAAAUGUUGAUUCCAGAGGGGCCUGAAUGGCUGAAUAUCACUGUCUGCUGUUUGAGCCUGUGCUUCUGUAGUGCAUCAACGUUUUGACCACAAUCAGAUGGACCGAAACGCGGACGCAUGCCUGUGCAGAUUAUACUGGCAUGCUGUUCUGCAGCACUGGAGCAUCCAAGUCCUCUGCCCUCCGGUUCUCUGCUUGGUCCCCAUUACGACGAGCGAGAUCUGUUCUACUCGGUGCUCAGCGAUGAUCAUCUUCAUAGCUGCUACCUACUUCGCUGCCAUGGUAUGGUACACAUGUAUAAUUCUGGCCAACAAACCAGCCACCAAAAUAUACAUUGACAAUGAAUUCUCGGUACCUCGUACCAA